AGAGUUUGAUCCUGGCUCAGGAUGAACGCUGGCGGCGUGCUUAACACAUGCAAGUCGAACGAAGCACUUCUAAAUGAUCCUUCGGGUGAAUGAGGGAGUGACUUAGUGGCGGACGGGUGAGUAACGCGUGGGUAACCUGCCUCACACAGGGGGACAACAGUUGGAAACGACUGCUAAUACCGCAUAAGCGCACAGUAUUGCAUGAUACAGUGUGAAAAACUCCGGUGGUAUACGAUGGACCCGCGUCUGAUUAGCUAGUUGGUGAGGUAACGGCCCACCAAGGCGACGAUCAGUAGCCGGCCUGAGAGGGUGAACGGCCACAUUGGGACUGAGACACGGCCCAAACUCCUACGGGAGGCAGCAGUGGGGAAUAUUGCACAAUGGGGGAAACCCUGAUGCAGCGACGCCGCGUGAGUGAAGAAGUAUUUCGGUAUGUAAAGCUCUAUCAGCAGGGAAGAAAAUGACGGUACCUGACUAAGAAGCCCCGGCUAACUACGUGCCAGCAGCCGCGGUAAUACGUAGGUGGCAAGCGUUGUCCGGAAUUACUGGGUGUAAAGGGAGAGUAGGCGGGGCUGCAAGUCUGUUGUUAAAUCCAUCGGCUCAACCGGUGGCUGCGGCAGAAACUGUAGUUCUUGAGUGAAGUAGAGGCAGGCGGAAUUCCUAGUGUAGCGGUGAAAUGCGUAGAUAUUAGGAGGAACACCAGUGGCGAAGGCGGCCUGCUGGGCUUUAACUGACGCUGAGGCUCGAAAGUGUGGGGAGCAAACAGGAUUAGAUACCCUGGUAGUCCACACUGUAAACGAUGAAUACUAGGUGUGCGGGGACUGACCCCCUGCGUGCCGCAGCUAACGCAAUAAGUAUUCCACCUGGGGAGUACGCCGGCAACGGUGAAACUCAAAGGAAUUGACGGGGGCCCGCACAAGCGGAGGAACAUGUGGUUUAAUUCGAUGAUACGCGAGGAACCUUACCCGGGCUCAAACGACAGCGGACAGCUCUUGAAAGGGAGUCUCCGGCAACGGCCGCUGUCGAGGUGCUGCAUGGUUGUCGUCAGCUCGUGCCGUGAGGUGUCGGCUUAAGUGCCAUAACGAGCGCAACCCCCAUCUCCAGUUGCCACCGGGUCGUGCCGGGCACUCUGGAGGGACUGCCAGCGCAAGCUGCGAGGAAGGCGGGGAUGACGUCAAAUCAGCACGGCCCUUACGUCCGGGGCGACACACGUGUUACAAUGGCGGAGAACAGAGGGGAGCCACGUGGCGACACGGAGCCGAUCCCAAAAAUCCGUCUCAGUUCGGAUUGGAGUCUGCAACCCGACUCCAUGAAGCUGGAUUCGCUAGUAAUCGCGCAUCAGCCAUGGCGCGGUGAAUACGUUCCCGGGCCUUGUACUCACCGCCCGUCA
rnacentral:rRNA from 1 species